UGAGAGGUCUUGCUGAUCUGACGAGAUCUACAAGUAGUACAGUGGUGCGGAGCUUUGCAGGGCUGUCAAGUCUUGCUGUCUCUGUGCCUCCAUCUCUCCCUCGACUCUCUCGCCUCCAAGAUUUGUGGCACACAUUGGAUUGAUGAAAAUAAUAAUCAGCACUAUAGCAGGACAUUUAGAGCCAGACUGCCCGAAUUUAACUCCUGACUCCCGACUCACGUGACUUCACAAGGCUGUCCCUCCCUCGAGGAAGUCUUUCGAGCCAAACGCAAGCAUCCACUGCUCCUUGAAUGUCCCUUACGCCCUUAUACUGUCUCAGUUAUCCAUUGCUGCAGAACAAAGACCCCCACACUUAAGAACUUAAAACAGCAGCCAUUGUGUUUGCUCUCAAUUCUGUGGAUCAGGAACCUGAACAGAACAGCUGGAGCAGCUGGCAAGGCUGCAGAUUGAUGGGCACACACUGGACCCUACACCUAGUUCCUCGGUACUGACCAUCAGCUAGAUUCCUGCUUAUCUUGAACGAGACCCAUCCACAGGGCCUGCUUGGUCUUCCUCAGAGUGUGGUGGUCUCUGUUAGAUUUCUGGGAGUUCCCAUCAU